rnacentral:rRNA from 1 species
AUUGAACGCUGGCGGCAUGCUUUACACAUGCAAGUCGAACGGCAGCGCGGGCUUCGGCCUGGCGGCGAGUGGCGAACGGGUGAGUAAUGCAUCGGAACGUGCCCAGUAGUUGGGGAUAGCCCGGCGAAAGCCGGAUUAAUACCGCAUACGACCUGAGGGUGAAAGCGGGGGACCGAAAGGCCUCGCGCUAUUGGAGCGGCCGAUGUCGGAUUAGCUAGUUGGUGGGGUAAAGGCUUACCAAGGCGACGAUCCGUAGCUGGUCUGAGAGGACGACCAGCCACACUGGGACUGAGACACGGCCCAGACUCCUACGGGAGGCAGCAGUAGGGAAUUUUGGACAAUGGGGGCAACCCUGAUCCAGCCAUGCCGCGUGCGGGAAGAAGGCCUUCGGGUUGUAAACCGCUUUUGUUCGGGAAGAAAUCCUCUGGGCUAAUACCCCGGGGGGAUGACGGUACCGGAAGAAUAAGCACCGGCUAACUACGUG